rnacentral:rRNA from 1 species
GUGGGGAAUAUUGGACAAUGGGCGCAAGCCUGAUCCAGCCAUGCCGCGUGAGUGAUGAAGGCCCUAGGGUUGUAAAGCUCUUUCAGUGGGGACGAUAAUGACGGUACCCACAGAAGAAGCCCCGGCUAACUUCGUGCCAGCAGCCGCGGUAAUACGAAGGGGGCUAGCGUUGUUCGGAUUUACUGGGCGUAAAGCGCACGUAGGCGGAUUGGUCAGUUAGAGGUGAAAUCCUGGAGCUCAACUCCAGAACUGCCUUUAAUACUGCCAGUCUAGUGUCCAGAAGAGGUGAGUGGAAUUCCGAGUGUAGAGGUGAAAUUCGUAGAUAUUCGGAGGAACACCAGUGGCGAAGGCGGCUCACUGGCUCGGUACUGACGCUGAGGUGCGAAAGCGUGGGGAGCAAACAGGAUUAGAAACCCGGGUAGUCC